AGGGAAUCUUCCGCAAUGGGCGCAAGCCUGACGGAGCAACGCCGCGUGAGCGAGGACGGCCUUCGGGUUGUAAAGCUCUGUUCUUCGGGAAGAAGGGCGGGAGGGCGAACAACUCUUCCGCUUGACGGUACCGAAGGAGAAAGCCCCGGCUAACUACGUGCCAGCAGCCGCGGUAAUACGUAGGGGGCGAGCGUUGUCCGGAAUUAUUGGGCGUAAAGCGCGCGUAGGCGGCUGGUUAAGGCCUGGGUGAAAGACCACGGCUCAACCGGGGGGGUGCACGGGAAACUGGCCGGCUUGAGUGCAGGAGAGGGGAGCGGAAUUCCCGGUGUGGCGGUGGAAUGCGUAGAGAUCGGGAGGAACACCAGUGGCGAAGGCGGCUCCCUGGCCUGUAACUGACGCUGAGGCGCGAAAGCGUGGGGAGCGAAC
rnacentral:rRNA from 1 species